rnacentral:rRNA from 1 species
AACGUGCCCAGUCGUGGGGGAUAACGUAGCGAAAGCUACGCUAAUACCGCAUACGAUCCACGGAUGAAAGCGGGGGAUCGCAAGACCUCGCGCGACCGGAGCGGCCGAUAUCAGAUUAGGUAGUUGGUGGGGUAAAAGCCCACCAAGCCAACGAUCUGUAGCUGGUCUGAGAGGACGACCAGCCACACUGGGACUGAGACACGGCCCAGACUCCUACGGGAGGCAGCAGUGGGGAAUUUUGGACAAUGGGCGCAAGCCUGAUCCGGCAAUGCCGCGUGCAG